rnacentral:rRNA from 1 species
AUUGAACGCUGGCGGCAGGCCUAACACAUGCAAGUCGAACGGAAACAGGAAGAAGCUUGCUUCUUUGCUGACGAGUGGCGGACGGGUGAGUAAUGUCUGGGAAACUGCCUGAUGGAGGGGGAUAACUACUGGAAACGGUAGCUAAUACCGCAUAACGUCGCAAGACCAAAGAGGGGGACCUUCGGGCCUCUUGCCAUCGGAUGUGCCCAGAUGGGAUUAGCUAGUAGGUGGGGUAACGGCUCACCUAGGCGACGAUCCCUAGCUGGUCUGAGAGGAUGACCAGCCACACUGGAACUGAGCCACGGUCCAGACUCCUACGGGAGGCAGCAGUGGGGAAUAUUGCACAAUGGGCGCAAGCCUGAUGCAGCCAUGCCGCGUGUAUGAAGAAGGCCUUCGGGUUGUAAAGUACUUUCAGCGGGGAGGAAGGGAGUAAAGUUAAUACCUUUGCUCAUUGACGUUACCCGCAGAAGAAGCACCGGCUAACUCCGUG